ensembl:lncRNA
GACGCCGCGAGUGAGCGAGGCCUAUGAAAAAACACCCCCUCCCUGAUCACGUGCGGGGGGCGGGGCGUUAAAAACCCGAGCCUAAGGCUGAUUGUAGAUGCAAUGUGUUUUUAAGCUGUAGUGCACCUGCUUGCCUGCUCGUUUUACACGGGAAUAUGAGCGCGCUCACUGCUAAUUUGCUGUUGAAAGAGCUCUCUUUGGCUGCGGUCUGUGAAGGUGUUGAUGCUUGGCUAGAAUGCCAGCAGAAGGCGGGCUUCUCACAAGCGGCUUUGCAGCCAGUGACAGCGGGUAUGCUGAAAUUAAUUGGUGUUGUGUGAACUUCACUUUGCUUUUGUUUAGGCUAUCUUGAUCCACACACCUGUUUCCCACUGGUGGAUGUGUUGCCUAUGGAUUCUUGCAAGCCCAUGGUGGUGCUGUAUUGAAAUGCCCUCCCCUUUUCGCUCAGUGUUAUCUGUAGUACUGCAUUAACAGCAGUUGACUCCAUCUCCCUUUGUUUGAGAGCUAGAAGGCCUCAGGGGUCCAGGGCUGGGACAACACCAUGUGCUGUCCUCAAUAUUUCUCAGGUAGAUGGGCUCUGGUGGGCUGCCCUCACCAGCUCAGGCUGUCCAGGGCCCCAUCCAACCUGGACUUGAACACCUCAGGGUUGGGGCACCCUCAGCUUCUCUGGGCAGCCCAUGCCAGCGCCUCACCACUCACUGAGUAGAGAAUUUUUUCCUAUUAUCUAAUGAUAUUAAUGACACGAGCUUCCCAAAACAUGUAGCUCGUCUCCUCAGAAGGCCUCCUGUACCCCUGGAAACGUGUUGUGUCCUGCUGCAUGGUCCAGUUUUGUGAAUGGGAGUAGCUCAGUUGUAUCAGAUAGCUCCCUCAAAAAAGAUGCAGAGGAAAACCCUAAAAGCAGAAAGAAACCCCAGAACCCACUCAGGAAAAAGCAAGAAGCAGACUCAGGAAUUCUGCCCCACUGGACCAUCAGUGUCUCUGGCGGAGCUCUGCUUCCCGCCUUCCCUCUAUUCUAUUCCCGCCUCUGCGUGUGGAGAUGACGAAGGCCUCAAUGGGUACCUCAGUAGAGAGCAACCACUGAGAUCAACAAAAGCACUCAAAAAAUUGUUGACCAGCCCCUUGUCUCUAGGAAGGGAUCCUUUAUACACCCAGGCUUUCAAGCCUUGCCAUUAAAAGGCUGCUUUUUGAUAUAAAGGGCAUCCUCAGCCCGGGGACAGCUGGUGUUUUCCUCAGCAGGGCCCUUGUUGUUGGUGCUAAGCUGGAGCCACAGGUGGCUGAGUUCAGAAAGCACAUUCUUCCCCUCCACAGCUACACUGUGACAGCAGGAAUUUGUUAGGCAAGGACAUCUGCAGACAAGCAUGUGGGCAGCCCAGAAACCGUGCUUGAGGGGCACAGUGAAUGGAGAAGCUACUUGAGGACCGAAGAGAGCACAUCUUUCUUCAAGGCUGCUGCUGCACUCAAGAAACAUGCUUUUAAAGUUAAUUCCAUAGCUAUAUAAACCAGCAAGGAGGCACUCGAUUUCAGCUUUUUGUUACGGAAGCUAGCAUUGCAUUCAAAUUGCUGUAUUUUAGACAGAAAACUAUGUACAACACCAGAUUGAAUCCAUCUGCUCUUUUAUCUGGAAAGGCUAAGGCACAGGUACAUUGUCCCAGACACUUGUGGAUGAAAAGCAGCAGUGCAAAGAGAGGCUGCAGUAAUCUUCAGAGAGGUUUUAUUUGUUUGAGGGCCACAGGUGAUACAGUGAGCUAAUUGCCACCAUAUCUUUGUACUGUGCUUAAACAGCUGUUGUGUUUAUCAGACAGAAGUCUACC